UUUUUGCUUCCUCUUAAAUCUGCCUGGCCAAUUUAAAGCCUGUGGAUAUUUCUUCCCCCUCGGGGAAAGCUUAUGUGAGGAUUUUCUUUUUUAACAGUUCAUUCCGUGAAACCAUUUUUUUUUCCUUGUUUGCUGUUAGAAAAUGUUGGAGCUGAACAUAAGGCUUUCAUUGCAGCUUGCUAUCAAGGGAACUAAGAAAGGAUGUAGGCAUAUUGUUAAUGUCUCUCUUCAAGCUGUAUUUGAGGCUGGGA
rnacentral:lncRNA from 1 species